CAGUGGGCAGAGGGAUGCGGCAAAGAGACUUCCAGGUCCUGGCUGGGAGACAGGUGGGCACUCGAGGUGGGCAGAGGGGUGGCAGGUGCGAGGUGUUGUGGCCUAAGUGCUUGGGUCCCCAGGGUCAGACGGGGGAGCAGGGAAGCAGCCAUAGGUCCUCUGAGGGGCACGUGGAGGCCCUGCUCCUCCAGGAUUCCAGCAGCCCAGCGGCGGAGGGGAACUGGCCAGGGCCAUGCAUCCCUUGCCCUCUGCCCUCUGCCCUCUGCCACGUGGGGCUGCAGAGACAAGCUGCCCUCUUGGCAGCAGAGAGCCCUCACCAAACCCCAGAUCUGCCAGAGCCUUGGCCCUGGACUUCAGCUCCCAGAACUGGGGGAAAGGCAUUGCUGUCCUUUAUUAAUCCCAGGCUUGGCCUUCUGUUGGCAGGAGUGGACAUGGGCCCUCUCCAUGGGACAUGGGGCAGUGCGUCAGGGCCACACGCCGAGGGGCAGGUGUGGCAAGAUGGGUCAGAGUGGAUGGGGUGAUGCAGGAGGAGAGCCCAGGACCUGGGGACGGGAUCCAGGAGUGGACACCACACAAGGGGAGGGUGGCAGAACCGUGACUGCAUCCUGAGCAGCAGGGCACCAGUGGGUGCCAGGGCUCCGGCCUGGGCCAGGGGGCUCUGGCCUCACCGGGCAGGCUAUCGGGUGUCUGUGGCGUGGCUUGUCCUGGGGGAGCGAGAGGGCCUGGGUGAGGUGGCAGCGCCACACCUGGGAGCCAGGAAGCCACAGGGCACAGAGCCAGAGCCACCUGGCCGCUCACGGAAGUGUCCACAGGACGGAGCAGCAAAGGGACGCGGAAGGGCUCAGGCCCAGGAGAGGGCCUCUGAGAACACGACUGAGAAUGAGCCAGGUCCUUAAAGAGGUGAUCAGGCUGAGACGCGUCACCAGGUGGCCCAUCAGGACAGACCCCGAGGACUGCGUGAGGACAUGGGGAGGAGACGCCGUGGCACCUGGACCCAGACUCCAGCCCCAGGACAGGGACAGUGGUGGCUGUCUGCUGCUGAAGCCCUCUGGGUCUGCUGUUGUGACUGCCGGGAGCUCACACAGAGUCAGAAAAGUUUCCGGAAUGAGAAUGGUACCAAGGAGCCGUGUGCCAGCACCCACACCCGCCCCAUGUCCCCUCUGUGGUCCUCUCUGCCUCUGCCGCUCUCUGUGCCUGACCGCUCCUAACCUCCUUGAAGAUUUACAGUCUGAGUGCGAAGACCCCCGCACUCAGCAACACCAGCAGGGGAACACUGAAGCGCCACUUUACCUCACCCCGGCUCUGUCCCGUGACCCGUGA